rnacentral:pre_miRNA from 1 species
AAGACGUCCCUGACCGUCAGUCUACCGAGCAAAUAUCACCCGCUCGGUGGAAGAUCUUUCCUUUGGUCGU